rnacentral:rRNA from 1 species
AACAAACGCUGGCGGCAGGCCUAACACAUGCAAGUUGAACGCUGUAGCAAUACAGAGUAGCGCACGGGUGCGUAACGCGUGGGAAUAUGCCCUUCACUGCGGAAUAACGUUUGGAAACGAACGCUAAUACCGCAUAACGACUCCGGUCCAAAGAUUUAUCGGUGAAGGAUUAGCCCGCGUUAGAUUAGCUAGUUGGUGAGGUAACGGCUCACCAAGGCGACGAUCUAUAGCUGGUCUGAGAGGAUGAUCAGCCACACUGGGACUGAGACACGGCCCAGACUCCUACGGGAGGCAGCAGUGAGGAAUAUUGGACAAUGGGCGCAAGCCUGAUCCAGCAAUGCCGCGCGAGUGAAGAAGGCCU